GACGAACGCUGGCGGCGUGCUUAACACAUGCAAGUCGAACGGAAAGGCCCUGCUUGCAGGGUACUCGAGUGGCGAACGGGUGAGUAACACGUGGGUGAUCUGCCCUGCACUUCGGGAUAAGCCUGGGAAACUGGGUCUAAUACCGGAUAGGAGCCAGUUUUAGUGUGAUGGUUGGAAAGUUUUUUCGGUGUAGGAUGAGCUCGCGGCCUAUCAGCUUGUUGGUGGGGUAAUGGCCUACCAAGGCGGCGACGGGUAGCCGGCCUGAGAGGGUGGACGGCCACAUUGGGACUGAGAUACGGCCCAGACUCCUACGGGAGGCAGCAGUGGGGAAUAUUGCACAAUGGGCGCAAGCCUGAUGCAGCGACGCCGCGUGGGGGAUGACGGCCUUCGGGUUGUAAACUCCUUUCGCUAGGGACGAAGCUUUUUGCGACGGUACCUAGAUAAGAAGCACCGGCUAACUACGUG
rnacentral:rRNA from 1 species